AAAAAUAACUUACAAGAAAUCCAAAUGAUAAUUUUAGGAUUUUAUAGGGUUUAAUUUAAUCAGCAUAUUUAAAAACUUAAAAAUUGACUAAUAUUUGCACACUUAGAGUUUAAUCGAGUGGUACGACUUUGGGUUUUUCCGAGUGAAUGUCUCAAAAGAGAAGGAAAUAUAAAUGGAGAAUUAAGAAGAGAAGAUAAAGGGUCAAUGGUGCCGAUACUGGAGCUUCCGAGAGACGAAUAUCAAGAAAACAGCUUGCAGCUGGCUAAAACUGCUCCAAGUAACUGACAAGACAAUUGGCUGUAUACUGUUUGCUUUCUCCCCUGGAGCUCACGCUAUUUAUAUUCAGCUCUUAGCUUGCGAUUACGAGUAAUCAUAGAUCUUAUCGGUAUGAAUGCUAGAAUUAGUACAACUCUAUCUGAUUAAAUUAUUCAACCAACAUUAAUACAACAUACACAAGUACAAGUUUUUUUUUUUUUUUUAGUUGAAAAUCUGUUACUAAUGAACAUAAUCACGAUCGUUCCGGCGUUUAUUUAAAAAUAUUUGCCGGCAAAGAUACUAGAAAAAUAUUUAAUAGUUGGUAAUGAAUAAACGCCCUAAUAUAACUAAGUGGCGCCACGAUCAAUUAUGUAUUUACGACUUCAUAUAUAAAGAAAAUUCCACGAGACAUGAUCAAGUGAUAAUAUUUAAUUUGAUAAGACAAUUAUGCAAAUUGAAGGCCCGCGACACUACAAUCUAGUUCAAUCAAUAAAUAAUAAUCGGUGUCAUGUAUAAUAGCAAGUACCUAUACGCGGUAUGAUACUCGUUGGAUAAAUCAAAUAAGAGUGAUUCAAAUGACAUAAUAUAUUUAACAAUUAAUAUACUAAAAUAGAAGUUGACAAAUCAAGGUAUGUAUAUUUAGGUUUCAACGACGAAGAUGACAUGCGCAAGAUAAACUUCGCGGUAAUUAUUAUUUAAUUUAAAUCACGCGAGAUAAGUAAGUUUGAUUUUGAAGAAAUGUUUUUUGUUAAUUGAGUGUUGGUGGAUAUUACCCGAAGGUACGCAAGAGCACGAUAUGAGUCAUUGUACCAUUUCACAGUUAUAAACAAUUUAAACUACAAGUUGUCGUCCCCUGUACUGACUCGUGCUGAGUGUCGAUUGAAAAUAAUUUUACGGAUGUACAUUAUUUAAGAGAAUAAAAUACGAAUAAAAAAUGAUGACUCAUCACUAUACAAAUAUGUGAAAUAGUGUUGUUUAUAUUCGUGGUGGACGUAAAUGGAUUUUUAGAUGGAAAAUUAUCGAUUAAUUCAUACGUGUUCAUUUGUAUAAUUUAUAGGUGUUUAUAAUAAAUAAACACGAAGAUAUUUACUGAACAAAUGGCAGAAAACUUGUUAGCCAUCGAGAGAAAACAUGUCAGUUGUAUCAAUAGUAAGAAGUAUAAGAUUGAGAACACAUCUAUUACUAUUACUACAUAUACUAGAAAUUCUUGAUUCUUUUGUUAACUGGAAUAAACCAACUGUUGGAUGGGUUGACAAUGUCAAUAGUGAUGAUAUGUUAUGUAGUUUCGCGCUGACGCUGCGAAAAUACUUUUAUUAUUUUAGCAUUCCAUUACGUCAAAAGAUGUUUUUUUUUGUAUGAUAUGAACAAAUAUUU